UUGGGGUCCCAGGUGUGACACUGGGGUGACAUUUGGGGUGCCCUUUGCCCUUUGCCCCCAGGCCGCCCCCCGGCUGCGCUGGUUGGCCCCGGGGCCGCUGCGGCUCCUCCCUGGACAUUUCGGGGCCCCCCGGGGGGAGCGGGACCGGCUGCGCCCCCCCCCCGGGGCUGCCCCCGCCCCGCUCCCGCCUCGUCCUGCGCGACCUCAGCCUCACCUGGGCCCUCUGCGGGGGGCGCGACUUCGGCCCCGCCCCGCCCAGGUGGGACACACCUGGGGGGACACACCUGGGGGGAAACACACCUGGGAGGGGACACACCUGGGGGGGGACACACCUGGGGGGAACACACCCAUGGGUGGAGCUAAGGGACACACCUGGGGGGACACACCUGGGGAGGGACACGCCCAUGGGUGGGGCUGUGGGACACACCUGGGGGGGACACACCUGGGGGGACACACACCUGGGGGGAGACACACCUGGGGGGGGACACACCUGGGGGGGGACACACCUGGGGGGAGACACACCUGGGGAGGGACACGCCCAUGGGUGGGGCUGGGCAACACACCUGGGGGGACACACCUGGGGGGGGGACACACCUGGGGGGGGACACACCUGGGGGGACACACCUGGGGGAGGACACGCCCAUGGGUGGGGCUAAGGGACACCUGGGGGGACACGCCCAUGGGUGUGUGCGGUGGGCGUGGCCAGCACAGGCAGUGGGCGUGGCCGCGCUGACCCCGCCCCCGCAGGCCCCGCCCCCGCAGCACCGGCCCCGCCCCCCCGCGGUGGCGCUGCCGGGGGGGCCCCGGGAGGGUCCCGGAUCAGCUGAUGGAGCUGCACCUGGGCAAGGUGUGUCUGCAGCACGAGACGUACGCGGCCCCGCCCGGGCCCGGGGGGCUCUCGGGGGUCCCGGGGGAGGCGCCCACCUCCCGCCUGGUGCUGCUCGUGCCCGACCUGGAGCUGCGCGACCGCCUCAGCGCCGCCGCCGCGCCCCCGUUCCUCGGCCGCCACCCCCGCGCCACGCCCGGGCCCUGCACCCCCACGGUACGGGGGGGACCCCGCGGUGGGACCCCCAAAUCUGGGACCCCCAAAUAUCACCCCAAAUCUGGGACCCCCAAAUCUGGGACCCCCAAAUCUGGGACCCCCAAAUGUCAGCCCAAAUGUGGGACCCCCAAUGUCAGCCCAAAUCUGGGACCCCCAAAUGUCAGCCCAAACCUGGGACCCCCUCAGAUCUGAGACCCCCAAACGUGACCCCAAAUGUGGGACCCUGGGAUGGGGCCCCCAAACCUGGGACCCCCAAAUAUCACCCCAAAUCUGGGACCCUCUCAGAUCUGAGACCCCCAAAUCUGGGAGCCUGAGUGUGGGACCCCCAAAUGUCAGCCCAAACCUGGGACCCUCUCAGAUCUCAGACCCCCAAACGUGACCCCAAAUCCGGGACCCCCAAAUGUGACCCCAAAUGUGGGACCCCGGGAUGGGACCCCCAAAUGUCACCCCAAACCUUGGACCCCCUCAGAUCUGAGACCCCCCAAACCUGACAUCCCCAAAUCUGGGACUCCCCAAAUAUCACCCCAAAUUAUGGACCCCCCAGAUCUGAGACCCCCAAAUGUGGGACCCCGGGCUGGGACCCCAAAUCUGAGACCCCAAAUUUUCCCCCC
rnacentral:lncRNA from 1 species